UGCCCGGUGGAAGAGCAGCAGGGGAGCAGGCCGGCAGCAGGCUGGGCAUGAGCCAGCAGCGUGCUCGGGCCGCUGGCCCGGGAGUGGUGUGGCCAGCAGGAGCAGAGGGCAGUGGCCCUGCCUCUGGACUCGGUGCUGCUGAGGCCUCGCCCCAAACACUGCGUUCAGCUUUGGGCCUCACGCCGAGCAGGACGUUAAGAUGCUGGAGGCUGUCCAGGGAAGGGCAGUGAAGCUGUCGAAGGGUCUGGGGCACAGAUCUUAAGAGGAGUGACUGAGGGGACUGGAGAAAAGGAGGCUCAGGGGAGAUCCUGUCGCUGUGCUGUAACUACCUGAAAGGAGGUUGCAGUGAGGUGGAUGUCGGUGCUGGAGACGAAAAACUCGCUCUGGAGGGCACCACCUUCACAUUCAGCUGGAGGAGCUGCAGCCAGCUACAGCACAGUGCCCUGACGUGAGCCCAAAAGGAACAAAGGCAUUGUCUCCACAGCUCUGAGGGAAGCUCGACUGGCCCAGAGGUACCUGCAGCUGAGCCUGGCACCUCAUCACCUCGGAUAAUCUGUUGGAUGUGACUGCUCAGAUUUCUUCCUGCUGCACCCCUCGAAAAUGCUGCAGAUGCUUUGGCGACAGUAAGCCUGAAGGUGCAGCAGCAGGCAGAACCCGUGUUGCUCGCACAUGAAUAGCCUUUCAAGCCUGCAGAGCCUCCAGGCAGCUCCCUUCUGCCCCCCUCAAAGGAAGCCAUGAAAUGCAUUUGACACUACCGCGGUGUCAUUAGCCAGAACUGCCCCGGCCUCAGCCCCAUACGGUGCAGCAGCAGCCCCUGCCUCCGGAGGAAAGCACACAGCUGCUCUCUUGGCCUGGCUGCUGCUGGCAGUGCAGGAGCCCAGACAAGUGAAAAUCCCCUGCUUGAAUGAAGUGGAAGGAGAAGAGCUUAAAGCAAACUUCCAUGAGGUAUGUCAGGAAGACACAGACAUAACCACACCAUGAACGUGCUUCUGCAGACUGCUUCCUCGGAAGGAGCAGGCAGCAUGGAGUCAUCGCAGCCCUGCUCUGAGAUCUUAGAGUCUGAAGAGCGCUGCAACGUGCUGCUGCUGCAUGCCUGGAAGGUAGCAAGGAACUGGCUCCCAUAAUCACUGCAUCGACCAGGAGAAGAACCAGCAAACACUCCUCUGAGCUGGCUGGAGGUUAUGCAAGCCAAAGAGGAUUUAUUUCCUUCUUGUCUCUGCAGUGAAGCAAAUGGAACCAUUAGCCAAACACACAUCUGUUCCUCAGGAGGUGUUUACAGCCCCUGCCUUGCCAGCCCUACCCGGGUAACACUCAGGUGCCUGGGUACCUGCAGAGCUUUGCUGAAGAGACAAUAGGUGCACACUGAUGUGCAAACAGACAUCAGCUCUUCAAGCCUGGACAUGACUUGCAGCCUCCUGAAAUGUUUUUAAAUGUCAGAGCUUUCUCCUAAGGUUGUGGGAAAUCCUCUCUCCUGCGCCGUGCCGAUGGUGCGAAUGGUGAAGGGACAGGGGAAGGCAUUUAUAAUAGCAGGACAUUGUGCUCUGCACUUUGUUUUAGCGUGUGGGGGGAAUAGUAAUUGUGUUCAGCCUGGAAAUGGCUUGGGUUAGGCAGUUCAGAGCACAAGCACCUGCAGCAAAUUAAUUUGUUGUAGCAUAUUUAUUAUCUCAUAGCUUCUCUUUAGGCUGCAGCUGUUGCUAUUGUGUUAAUAAUGUUUAUCACCACUGCAUACAACAGGUUAUGGUAAUGGAGACAUUUUGGGGCGUGGAGCGUUGGUUUGGGGUUACUUCUGCAAUGCUAUGUCUGAGGCAGAAAAAGGUGGGGAGAACAUAAGGCAUAGGCAUCGAUC